rnacentral:rRNA from 1 species
CUACGGGUCGCACCAGUGAGGAAUAUUGGUCAAUGGGCGCGAGCCUGAACCAGCCAUCCCGCGUGCAGGAUGACGGCCCUAUGGGUUGUAAACUGCUUUUCUAUGCCAAGAAACCUGAUUACGUGUAAUCAGUUGCCGGUAGCAUAGGAAUAAGCAUCGGCUAACUCCGUGCCGGCAGCCGCGGUAAUACGGAGGAGUGCAAGCGUUAUCCGGAUUCAUUGGGUUUAAAGGGUGCGCAGGUGGGCUUGUAAGUCAGUGGUGAAAUGCUGCCGCUUAACGGUAGAACUGCCAUUGAUACUGCGAGUCUUGAGUAUGGUUGAGGUAGGCGGAAUGUGUUGUGUAGCGGUGAAAUGCAUAGAUAUGACACAGAACGCCAAUUGCGAAGGCAGCUUACUAAGCCAUUACUGACGCUGAGGCACGAAAGCGUGGGGAGCGAACAGGAUUAGAUACCCUAGUAGUC